UUUUAUUAAAUAGUUCGAUCACGCCCACGCUACUCUCGCGCUCCCACUCCACUCCGCAACCUCGUUCGAGUCGAUAGUUAUUACCGCUGCGAACAGGAGGUGCUACCCGUCAACGCGUACGCACACUAAUCGCCUCACCACAAUGUACCUGAUGCAAGAAUAAUUCGUCAAGCAACUUCUGCACGAAGACAGAGUUCCGAGAGGUAUCUGUUCAUCACUGCUGCACGUUGUGGUCAAAAUACUCUGGGAAUUCUGGCAGUGGGUGUAGGUUGUGUUCUCUUAGAGCAUCCGGGUUCUAAGAGACAGAAUCAGCACUACUCCCUGAGGCGUUUCAUGUACCAUAUUGUUUGAUAGUUUAUUUCUCUCUCUCUCUUUCUUUCCUUCUAUAACGCGUUACAUGUCGAUGUUCAACCUCGGUUCAAACCGGUCUCGGUGACCUCGACACCGACACCGAGCUCGUAGUUGGACCUCGACAUCUUAUUCCGGCGCGUAUACGUGUUCUAUAAUACGACAAGAAAGGAGUUAAAACUCCAAUAAACUGGUAAACAACGACUGAGAACUAAAGUUUGGUGGUUUGGCAUGGAAAAAGACGUCGAGACAUUCUGCAAGCAUUGCCACGGAUGCCAGCUAGUGAGCGCUGCGCAACCACCAGAACCACUGACCAUGACGAGACUCCCGGGAGGUCCCUGGAAAAUGGUUGCAAUGGACUUCCUAGGACCACUUCAAGGUGAUACAAACAUUUUUCUCGUUAUAGACUAUUAUAGCCGCCUCUACGAAGCAAGAGUCAUGAAAUCCAUCACUGCACAGAAGACCAUUGAAGAAUUGGAGGAAAUAUUUUCAAGAUUUGGCCUCCCAGAGCACAUCACUGCAGAUAAUGGAACUCAAUUUACAAGCACUAAAUUCCGGGACUACUGUUUGCAAAACGGCAUCACGCUGAGAAUAAACACCCCGAAAUGGCCUCCAGCAAACGGAGAAGUCGAGAGACAAAAUAAAUCCUUGCUGAAAAGACUUCGAAUAGCGCAAGCUUCAGGAGAACACAUCAUCAGAGCCUUAAGAUAAUACUUGUUUGCGUACCACACGACACCACAUGGCGUAACAGGGAAAACACCAGCAUAUCUCAUGUUCGGGAGGGAGCUCCGAGAUAAACUACCUAGUUACCAGAACAAUUUCUUCAAGCCAAUUACCGACACCGAGGUGCAAGAUCAAGACUUGGAGAAGAAAGAAGCGAGCAAAUCAUAUGCUGACGCGCACAGACGAAGCAGACCGUCUGAAGUUGAAAUCGGAGAUGAAGUACUACUGAAAAGAGACGUUAUUUCCGACAAACUAGAGACACCGUAUCUUCCGCAACCUGGUAGAGUGACGAAUAAACUGGGCAACUCCGUGACUAUCGAAACACCUGAUGGCCGUAAAGUACACAGGAACACAUCCCGUGUGAAGCCCUACAACAAGGAACGAGAAGGAGAAAACCCAAUCCAGCCUUCAGUGGCAGAUAUCCAACAAGAACGACAAGAACCAACGGAGAGGCGUUCCGUGAGACAAAGGCAACCGCCUCAGUGGACCAAAGAUUUUGUUUGCUAAUUAUAAUUUUGUAUCUUUUCAUUUUGUUAAAAAAAAAGAGGAAUGAUGUAGUGUCCUAAUGUACCGACAUGUACGGCCGGGAAUGCAGAUUAGCAUUGACAAGUGACAGGUGAAAAAUGUAGAAACACACUUGUAAUAGUACGUUAAUAAAUACACGUUAUUCUCCGAUUCAAUUCGCAUUUAUUAACACAACAGAAAUACACACAGUUGAGGAGCUACGAGAUCGUAUUUUUAAUGCCGCUAACCAAAUUCGACAGCAGCAAGGGCUCUUGUCCUGUGGCAAUUCCUGGAUAUAUAUGUAUUUCUGCCUGCAAGGGCGACAGCGGUGGAGGUUUGGUGUCUAAAUUCAGAAAGCGUUAUUACAUCGUUGGAGUUGUAAGCAUUUCACCACACGCCACAGAAGGUAGUUGUGAUAGUCAACAAUAUACUCUAUACCCCAGAUUUGGCUAUUAUAUUGAGAAAUUUAUAUUAGAAAAAGAGGCCCGAUUUAGGCCUCGUGUGGACUGUCCAGACGUUCUUAAUUGUAACAACGACACCUCAGUAACUACACCACAACCAACGACAGAAAAGGUUACCACCGAAUCAUCUAGCAGUUAUUGUAUUUUACCAAACCAUCCCGAAUUUGGGAAGUGGAUCGUCGUUGGAGCAAGUGAUGAACUUCAGCCUGGAAUAGCAGUUGCAUCGGAUACUGUAUGUACUUUGUAACAUUGUAGUCUACU